GGAGAAGUACUCAAGUGGUUGACGAGGCACGCUUGGAAAGCGUGUAAGGCCGCAAGGUCUUCGCGAGUUCGAAUCUCGCCUUCUCCGCCA
rnacentral:tRNA from 3 species